rnacentral:sRNA from 1 species
ACGGAAGCUGAUGUUUCCGUUCACUCCUCACACCACAUCCCGCCUGAGACACUUAACCGUGUCUUGGGCGGUU